UCCGGAUUAAAGAUAAAUGAAACUGUAGAAACUGUAAUAAUUAUGAGUGAAUCGACCAGAUUCCAGUGUUGGCAUUUCUUCUGCAACUUGAUGGCAACACCUUUGACCAAUCACACUUGAAGCACUUUUUGCACUUACUACAGGUUUUUCCUUAUGUCUGAAUUCUUGCUUGUGUUGUACGUCGCUUUGGACAAAAGCGUCUGCCAAAUGAAAUUGUAGAAUUGUAGAAUUGUAGAAAACUUUAAAUAUAUACAUACUUACAUUAUACGUUUAGGGAGAAAAGUUGUAAUUUUACAAAUUUUUCCUGAAUUCCGUCCAUCCAUCCAUCUUCUUCCUCUUAUCCUGGGUCGGAUCGUGGAGGCAGCAGAUGACGCAGGUCGUUCCAGACAUCCCUCCCACCAGCAACACUUUCCAGCUCUUCCUAUUGGAAGAGGGUCUACCCCGGGGUCUCCUCCCAGACAGACAUGUUUGGAAAACCUCCAAAGGAAAUCUUCCCAGAGGAAUCAGAUGUCCAAACCACCUCAGCUGCCUCCUUUCAUUGCAUAGGAGUGGUGGUUCUACUCUGAGCUUCCUCCAGAUGUCUGAGCUUCUCAGACACUACCCAGAACACAUGACCAUAGGUGAGGGUUGGAACGUAGAUGGAUGGUAAACUGAGAUCUUCUCCUUGUUGCUCUGCUCCCUCUUCACCACGAUGGUUUGAUACUAUGCCGUCAUUACUGCUGACGCUGCACCAAUCCUCCUGUCCAUCUCUCGAUCCAUUUUCCCAUCACUCGUGAACAAGAUCCCGAGAUACUUGAACUACUUCAUUUGGGGAAGCAACUCCCCCCAACCCAGAGGGAACAAUCCACUGUUUCCAUCAGAGGACCGUGGCCUCAGACUUGGAGGUUCUGAUCCUCAUCUCCACUGCUUUGUACUUGGCCACAAACCGCUCCAGUGCUGCUGAAGGUCUGAGGAACCAACAGAACCACAUCAUCUGCAAAACGCUGAGAUGUGAUCCUGAGGUCUCCAAACCAGAUACCCUCCUCACCCCGACUGAUCCUUGAGAUCCAUGAACACCAUGAACAGGAUCAGAGACAAGCGACACCCCUGGAGGAGUCCAACACCCACUGGAAACAUGUCUGACUUUGUAUGUGGACACAGCUCUCACUUUGGUUGUUCAGGGACCAAAUGUCUUGUAUCAGAGAGCCCGGUACCCCAUACUCCCUCAGUAUCCCCCACAGAGCCCCUCAGGGGGCACGGUCAUAGACCUUCUUCAGAUCCACAAAACACAUGUGGACUGGCAUUGGUUCGGUAACAUACAAUCUCUCAAAAUAUCUGGCGAGCAUCAUAAAACCUCUCCUGGCCAACACAGAUCAGCAUUGCAAAAACUCCAAAGAACUGGUAAAAGACCUCAGAAACAUAAAAGUUGGAAAAGACAAGGUUUUCAUAUCUCAUGAUGUAGUAUCAUUAUUCACCCGAACUCCAGUAGAAGCCACACUAGACUUAAUUCAUAAACAAUUGACAACAGACAAAACAUUCAAAAAACGUACAAAACUCUCUGUACAGGACGUCUCCCAGCUGCUCCGGUUUAUUGCCGAAUCCAAAUAUUUCCAAUUUCGCAGUGUAAUUUACAGACAGAAGGAAGGUUUUGCCAUGGGGGACCCUCUGUCGGCGAUCAUGUGUGGUGUUUUCAUGGAGGACCUGGAGGAAAAAGCAAUAACAUCUGCACCCGAGCACUGCCGACCGACUUUGUGGAAACGCUACGUUGACGACGUAUUGGAAAAAGUAAAAUCAGGACACACACAACAGAUCACAGACCACCUCAACACCAUAGACCACACCGGACAGAUCAAAUUCAGGAGGAAUAGCUGUCCUGGACAUAAACAUCGCACACACAGACGAUGGCGAUAUGAAAGUAAAAAUCUACAGGAAACCAACAUCCACUGACCAGUAUUUAUUAUGGACGUCAGAACAUCCAACUGCACACAAGAUGUCAGUAAUAAGAACUCUAUAUGAUCAAGCACAAUUGAUCACUGAGGAGGAAGACAAGAAAGAGGAGGAAAAACACAUCCAAACCGCACUCACCAGAUGCCAAUAUCAAAAACGGGCAAUAAAAAAGGGACGACAGCAGGUGAAGCAGAGGGAGCACAAGAAACUGGAAAAAAGAAACUCAACAUCAAAGCCGUACACAGGGGAACAGUCACAUUGUCGUACAUCAGAGGCACAACUGAAUGAAUCCAGAGGGCCAUGAAAAAACAUCACAUUAGCACUCCAGUCAAAUCUUUUAAAAAACUCAGACAUCUCCUGAUACACCCAAAGGACAAAGUCAACCCAAACAGCAAAUGUGACGUUAUAUAUGAGAUCCCAAGCCAUUCUUGCAAUAAAACAUACAUUGGAGAGACAGGACGCCCUUUUAUCGUACGAAAGACAGAACAUCAAAAAGAAUGUGAAAAGGAAAUGGCGAAAAGACAAACAAGAUCAACAGAAGAACAGUCACUGCAAGAACACAUGAAAUCAGCGAUCACGGACCAGUGCAAACAAGAGAACCCUAUUAUGAACUGGGAGAAGGCCAAAAUCAUCAGCACAGAAGCGAACAGACAUCAACGUUGGAUAAUGGAGGCAGUGGAGAUCCGGAAACGGUCCCAAACGGUCAUACUUUCACACACAUGUAGUGACAGUGUCGACCUGUCAAAGUUUGACAGGUCAACACCGCCCCAGUGAACAUCAGCUGAUUUUUAACUACACACCACCUGACGAAGAUGGAAGGCUCCGUCAACAUGUCAGGUAUGUUUUUGACAAAAUUACGUGACUGAUCACAAAAAAAAAGGUUUUAAACGCAUAUGGACUGGCAGGUAGAACUCCCAUGACCCCC